UCACAAAUUAUUAUCUCAGUUUUUAUUUCCACUCGCAAACACUUUAGUCUUUGAUUUCUCUCAAAUCUAGGCGUUUGGGCUGAACUCUGUGCAUAUAUAUAUAUAUAUAUAAGUGUGUAUUUUAAUAUUAAUUAUUAGAUUAAAAUCAAGAUUAUAUUUAUAAUUUUUAAUUAAUAUUUCUAAAUUUUAAUUAACAUGUAUUUAUUAUUAAAAUAUAAUAUUGUAAACUUUUUAUUUUAUUUUUUAAACACGUUAGUAUCUAAAUAUAGUACCAUUAAUUAUUAAUUAUGUAAAAAAAAUAACUAAAUUCUUGUUAGUGACUUCACUUGUUAAUUGUUAGUACCUACCCAUAAUAUAAAUACAGAGAGCAUCUCAACAGUAAGAGGUUUUUUUUAGAACGAACGAUGUGGAGUUUGAUAACAAAACUGAAAGAGAACCUCAAUUAGAUCACACAGGAUGUGCAUAACAAUGUAGAUGAUGAAGAGCUCAAGAUCUAUGGUGUCAAUGGAGGUGUGGUGUUGAUGGUCUUCGCUCAGGGAAAUUCUCAUUGUUUUGCGUAUUUCAAGUUAGCUUAUCGCUCACUGCUCGUGAACGGGGUCGAUUACUCUACUAUAAGUCUUGAGGUAUUUAACUUGUCCAGGUGAUGACUGCAUUUCCAUUGUUGGUAAUUCCUCACGAAUUAGGAUACGUGAUAUUUCUCGUGGCCCAGGUCAUGGGAUUAGUAUUGGAAGCUUGGGAAAGUCAACGUCAUGGUCAUAUGUGCAUGAUGUAACAGUAGAUGGGGCUUUUCUUGUCCAAUACUGAAAAUCGGGCGAGGAUUAAAACUUGGCAGGUGGUAGUGGUUUUGCUUCAAAGAUUUCAUUCCAAAAUGUGUUAAUGGAGAAUGUAUCGAAUCUAAUAAUAAUAGAUCAAUAUUACUGUGACUCUCAGAAACCAUGUCACAACCAGAUUUUGGCGGUAAAAGUGGAGAACAUAUCUUUCAUACACAUUAAAGGGACUUUAGCUAUAGAGGAAGCGAUAGCUUACCCUCUGAAGGGUUGUAUUUAGAAGAUGUACAUCUUCUAUCAUGCAUUGGGGAAACGACCAGGUCUUUUUGUUGGGAGGCUUAUGACUCAAGUUUGAGUUUAGUUGAUCCACCAGAUUUUUUUUCUAUCAAUGAAGGCUCCAUCAAAUAGCCAGGAUUAUCAAAUAACUAUUCACACGUCCGGAGCAGUCAAUAUAGUUUCCAUAAAACUCUGUUAAAUUGCUUGGAGCUUGAUGAAGAGCAAAUAAGAUGGUAACCGGUUACCCAUAGUAUCAAGUAACCAGUUACUCUGAUGGGUAACAA